UGGGCCCUAGUAACGGCGAGUGAAGCGGCAACAGCUCAAAUUUGAAAUCUGGCUCUUUUAGGGUCCGAGUUGUAAUUUGCAGAGGGCGCUUUGGCGUUGGCAGCGGUCCAAGUUCUUUGGAACAGGACGUCACAGAGGGUGAGAAUCCCGUACGUGGUCGCUAUCCUUCGCCGUGUAAAGCCCCUUCGACGAGUCGAGUUGUUUGGGAAUGCAGCUCUAAAUGGGAGGUAAAUUUCUUCUAAAGCUAAAUACUGGCCAGAGACCGAUAGCGCACAAGUAGAGUGAUCGAAAGAUGAAAAGCACUUUGGAAAGAGAGUCAAAUAGCACGUGAAAUUGUUGAAAGGGAAGCGCUUGCAGCCAGACUUGCCUGUAGUUGCUUAUCUGGACUUUUGUCCGGUGCACUCUUCUGCGGGCAGGCCAGCAUCAGUUUGGGCGGUUAGAUUAAGGUCUCUGUCACGUACCUCUCUUCGGGGAGGCCUUAUAGGGGAGACGCCAUGUAACCAGCCUGGACUGAGGUCCGCGCAUCUGCUAGGAUGCUGGCGUAAUGGCUGUAAGCGGCCCGUCUUGAAACACGGACCAAGGAGUCUAACAUCUAUUCGAGUGUUUGGGUGUCAAGCCCAGAACCGUAAUGAAAGUGAACGGAAGUGGGGAACCCUUUGGGGGGCACCAUCCAACCGAUCCUGAUGUCUUUCGGAAGGAUUUUGAGUAAAAACAUGGCUGUUUGGGAACCCGAAAAGAUGGUGGAACUAUUGCUUGGAAUAAGGGGGGAAAGCCCGAAGGAAAACUCCUGGUGGGAAGGCUCCCCAAACGGGUUCUUGAACGUGGCAAAUCCGAUCCGUCCAAAUUUUGGGGCAUAAGGGGGCCCAAAAAAUUAAUUCCGAAUUUUUUCCGGGACUGGUUCUGGGAUUUC
rnacentral:rRNA from 1 species